CAGUCGCCGCGGUAAUACAUAGGGUGCGAGCGUUAAUCGGAAUUACUGGGCGUAAAGCGUGCGCAGGCGGUUAUGUAAGACAGUUGUGAAAUCCCCGGGCUCAACCUGGGAACUGCAUCUGUGACUGCAUAGCUAGAGUAUGGCAGAGGGGGGUGGAAUUCCACGUGUAGCAGUGAAAUGCGUAGAGAUGUGGAGGAACACCGAUGGCGAAGGCAGCCCCCUGGGCCAAUACUGACGCUCAUGCACGAAAGCGUGGGGAGCAAACAGGAUUAGAGACCCCUGUAGUCCCUGUCUCUUAUAC
rnacentral:rRNA from 1 species